AUGUGCGCAAAGGGGGUCUUCCCUGCCCAUAUGAUUGAUAAUACCUUAUCAAUAUUUAAAGGACCUUAUGGGAAUUUCUAUCAAUAUUCGGGUCGGGUAUAUGUCCUCUGCGCCCGAAUAAUUGAUAGCAAUAUCAAUAUAUGUAGUUUGGGCUUUAUUCAGAAGAGAUAUUCAUCCUUGUUGGCGAAUAAUCCUUUCCUCAUUCCUGCAAAUUUGAUGCACGAGAAAAUAUGUCAGAAUUCAAGGGGAUCUGGUCUUGUGCUAUAUUCAUCAUCUAAAUUAGAUAUUUCUACAUUUUGCAAGGACUUUCUUUGUUUUCGCACUUCAGAUAUGUAUGGAACAUUAUCUUGA
rnacentral:rRNA from 1 species